rnacentral:rRNA from 1 species
GGAGUCUGGACCGUGUCUCAGUUCCAGUGUGGCCGACCGUCCUCUCAGACCGGCUACUGAUCAAAGCCUUGGUGAGCCAUUACCUCACCAACUAGCUAAUCAGCCGCGGACCCCUCUCAUAGCGAAUUGCUCCUUUCCUGCCGAAAUCCACAGAUCUCGUCAGAAUAUGCGGUAUUAGCACCGGUUUCCCGGUGUUAUUCCCCACUUUGAGGCAGGUUAUCCACGUGUUACUCACCCGUGCGCCGCUGUACUCAUGUAUUGCUACACUUUCUCGCUCGACUUGCAUGUGUUAGGCAUGCCGCCAGCGUUGAUUCUGAGCCAGGAUC